UUAAUCACUUAUACAGUCAAUGUAAAGUUUUCUUACACUGACAAUCAAUCAUAUCUUUUAAUAGUGUGUUUUUUUUAUUUUAAUUUGAUUAAAUAAGCAAAUGACAUGACAUUAUUAAAAGAUAUGAUUGGUUGCCAGUGUAAAAAAAAUUUUACACUGAUAGUGUAUAGGUGUUU
rnacentral:miRNA from 1 species